GCUGCAUGGUCCCACCGAUUACGCUUUUGUUCCUGCGCUGAGCAGAGAAUGGACAAUGGGGCCACAACAGAAUGCGAAGCCCAGUGAGGCAGGUCCUGUGACUGUCCAGCUGACCCAGGCCUGUCUGCCACCACCUGCAGCAUCACUGCCUCAGACCCAACCUGGCCAAUCCGUGUGCUGUCUCUUCUGGCCCUUGACUGGCUCAGGGAGGGGCACAUGACCCAAUCUGGACAAGUAAGAGGCAGAACAGAGUCAAGAUCUGAGCCCUGGAACGGGCCCCUCGAUGGGAGGCCUCACCCCCUGGCUGCCUCUCAGCGGGAAAGCACCAAGAAAACAGAAGUUGAAGUUCACCCGCCUGGGAUGUGCAAGAUAAGGCCCGACGCCCACCCAGCACUGCAGGGCUCCUGUUCCCAGGGGCCUCACAGCCCAACCCGAGGGGAACUUUCAUGGCACAGAGGGACCCGAU